rnacentral:SRP_RNA from 1 species
CGCUGGGCCCCGCGCGGCGAAGCGCUCCGAACCCCGCCAGGACCGGAAGGGAGCAACGGUAAGGAGUUGCCUUCGGGCGCCGCGGCAAGCCUGGCGGCA